AUUGAACGCUGGCGGCAGGCUUAACACAUGCAAGUCGAGCGGGGGAAAGUACUUCGGUACUGACCUUAGCGGCGGACGGGUGAGUAAUACUUAGGAAUCUGCCUAUUAGUGGGGGACAACAUCUCGAAAUGGAUGCUAAUACCGCAUACGUCCUACGGGAGAAAGCAGGGGAUCUUUAUGACCUUGCUCUAAUAGAUGAGCCUAAGUCGGAUUAGAUAGUUGGUGGGGUAAAGGCCUACCAAGGCGACGAUCUGUAGCGGGUCUGAGAGGAUGAUCCGCCACACUGGGACUGAGACACGGCCCAGACUCCUACGGGAGGCAGCAGUGGGGAAUAUUGGACAAUGGGGGGAACCCUGAUCCAGCCAUGCCGCGUGUGUGAAGAAGGCCUUAUGGUUGUAAAGCACUUUAAGCGAGGAGGAGGCUCUUUUGGUUAAUACCCAAGAUGAGUGGACGUUACUCGCAGAAUAAGCACCGGCUAACUCUGUGCCAGCCGCCGCAGUAACAC
rnacentral:rRNA from 1 species